rnacentral:rRNA from 1 species
CUUUCCUGCAACUUGACGUUGGAACUUGGCUGUAUUUGUGUAGGAUAGGUGGGAGACUUUGAAGCAGGGCCGCCAGGUCUUGCGGAGUCGUCGUUGAAAUACCACCCUGGUGCUGACGAGUUUCUAACCGUGUCCGUAAGCCGGACAUGAGACAGCGUCUGGUGGGCAGUUUGACUGGGGCGGUCGCCUCCUAAAAGGUAACGGAGGCAUUCAAAGGUCCCCUCAGCGUGGUCGGUAAUCACGCGCAGAGUGCAAACGCAUAAGGGGGCUUAACUGCGAGACCGACAGGUCGAGCAGGAACGAAAGUAGGAGUGAGUGAUCCCGCGGCUUAGCGUGGAAUUGCCGUUGCUCAAUGGAUAAAAGGUA